rnacentral:rRNA from 1 species
UACGUAGGGUGCAAGCGUUGUCCGGAAUUAUUGGGCGUAAAGAGCUCGUAGGCGGUCUGUCGCGUCGGCUGUGAAAACCCGGAGCUCAACUCCGGGCCUGCAGUCGAUACGGGCAAACUGGAGUACUGCAGGGGAGACUGGGAAUUCCUGGUGUAGCGGUGAAAUGACGCAGAUAUCAGGAGGAACACCGGUGGCGAAGGCGGGGUCUCUGGGCAGUAACUGACGCUGAGGAGCGAAAAGCGUGGGGGAGCGAACAGG